ACACAUGCAAGUCGAACGAGCGAGAGAGAGCUUGCUUUCUCGAGCGAGUGGCGAACGGGUGAGUAACGCGUGAGGAACCUGCCUCAAAGAGGGGGACAACAGUUGGAAACGACUGCUAAUACCGCAUAAGCCCACGACCCGGCAUCGGGUAGAGGGAAAAGGAGCAAUCCGCUUUGAGAUGGCCUCGCGUCCGAUUAGCUAGUUGGUGAGGUAAUGGCCCACCAAGGCGACGAUCGGUAGCCGGACUGAGAGGUUGAACGGCCACAUUGGGACUGAGACACGGCCCAGACUCCUACGGGAGGCAGCAGUGGGGAAUAUUGCACAAUGGGGGAAACCCUGAUGCAGCGACGCCGCGUGGAGGAAGAAGGUCUUCGGAUUGUAAACUCCUGUUGUUGAGGAAGAUAAUGACGGUACUCAACAAGGAAGUGACGGCUAACUACGUGCCAGCAGCCGCGGUAAAACGUAGGUCACAAGCGUUGUCCGGAAUUACUGGGUGUAAAGGGAGCGCAGGCGGGAAGACAAGUUGGAAGUGAAAUCCAUGGGCUCAACCCAUGAACUGCUUUCAAAACUGUUUUUCUUGAGUAGUGCAGAGGUAGGCGGAAUUCCCGGUGUAGCGGUGGAAUGCGUAGAUAUCGGGAGGAACACCAGUGGCGAAGGCGGCCUACUGGGCACCAACUGACGCUGAGGCUCGAAAGUGUGGGUAGCAAACAGGAUUAGAUACCCUGGUAGUCCACACUGUAAACGAUGAUUACUAGGUGUUGGAGGAUUGACCCCUUCAGUGCCGCAGUUAACACAAUAAGUAAUCCACCUGGGGAGUACGACC
rnacentral:rRNA from 1 species